rnacentral:rRNA from 1 species
AGUGAACGCUGGCGGUAGGCCUAACACAUGCAAGUCGAACGGCCGCACAGUAAUAGCUUGCUCUUACGGGUGGCGAGUGGCGGACGGGUGAGUAAUACAUCGGAAUCUACUUUUUCGUGGGUGAUAACGUAGGGAAACUUACGCUAAUACCGCAUACGACCUACGGGUGAAAGCAGGGGAUCUUCGGACCUUGCGCGAUUGAAUGAGCCGAAGUCGGAUUAGCUAGUUGGCGGGGUAAAGGCCCACCAAGGCGACGAUCCGUAGCUGGUCUGAGAGGAUGAUCAGCCACACUGGAACCGAGACACGGUCCAGACUCCUACGGGAGGAAGCAGUGGGGAAUAUUGGACAAUGGGGGAAAGCCUGAUCCAGCCAUACCGCGUGGGUGAAGAAGGACUUAGGGUUGUAAAGCCAUUUUGUUGGGAAAGAAAAGAAGCAGGUUAAUACCCCGCUGUUAUGACGGUACCCAAAGAAUAAGCACCGGCUAACUUCGUG